rnacentral:rRNA from 1 species
CCUACGGGAGGCAGCAGUGAGGAAUAUUGGUCAAUGGUCGGGAGACUGAACCAGCCAAGCCGCGUGAGGGAUGAAGGUACAGAGUAUCGUAAACCUCUUUUGUCAGGGAACAAAGGCGGGGACGUGUCCCCGGAUGAGUGUACCUGAAGAAAAAGCAUCGGCUAACACCGUGCCAGCAGCCGCGGUAAUACGGAGGAUGCGAGGGUUAUCCGGAUUUAUUGGGUUUAAAGGGUGCGCGGGCGGUCUGUUAAGUCAGCGGUAAAAGCCCGGGGGUAACCCGCGGCCCGCCGUUGAAACUGGCAGUCUCGAGUUGGAGAGAAGUAUGCGGAAUGCGCGGUGUAGCGGUGAAAUGCAUAGAUAUCGCGCAGAACUCCGAUUGCGAAGGCAGCAUGCCGGCUCCACACUGACGCUGAGGCACGAAAGCGUGGGUAUCGAACAGGAUUAGAUACCCUGGUAGUC